rnacentral:rRNA from 1 species
UACGGAGGGGGCGAGCGUUAUUCGGAAUCAUUGGGCGUAAAGGGCGCGUAGGCGGCCUAGCAAGUCAGGGGUGAAAUCCCUCGGCUCAACCGAGGAACUGCAUCUGAAACUGCGUGGCUAGAGACCGGGAGGGGGUAGGGGAAUUCCCGGUGUAGCGGUGAAAUGCGUAGAUAUUGGGAGGAACACCAGUGGCGAAGGCGGCCCCCUGGACCGGGUCUGACGCUGAGACGCGAAAGCGUGGGUAGCAAACAGG